rnacentral:lncRNA from 7 species
GUGUGUUGAUAAGUACAUCACUAAAUCAUAGAAGCACAGUGACAAGGUUCUUGGUUUCCCUUUUACUGUUAAUGUAUAGAACCAGAUCACUUAGCCAUUGCAUCAGCUUGAGUGCUUGGCUAUUGAUCAUAGUUUUUAAGGCGGUAAGGCGACCGAUCCCCUUUUUACCUUUUAAGCGGUAAAGCGUAAGGCGAGGUGACGCCUUAAAUGGUUAUCGAUGUUUUUUUUGGGCCAGCAGUACCAGUGCAGGCGCCGUAUUUAGACAAGUGUCAGUUGCUAUUGCUAGAUAAGGUUGUUAGAGAGAUUAAGGGGCUUAUCCCCUCUAUCUGUUAGGCAGACAGUUUUUAUCACUUUUAUUUGCUAGGCAGUCGGUUGAUUGAAACAAGGACUUAGGACUCCUCAUCUAUUAAGGAGACAGGAGUUUGUACCAGGAAAUUUAUAGAAGUUGCUUCCUAUUGGGAGGAACUGCUUCGGUCACCGUGGCUUCCUCGGCCGUAGGUGACAGUAGCUGUCCUCGUCGAUCUCCCUAUCCAAUCCGAUCUCUCCCUUAGUCCGAGGCUCUGCUAAUCUCCACUCUCCAUUCCCCUAAACGUCGUAGCCAUAUCAUAAAUAUAUUUAAAAAUACGAAAGUAUUGAUAUUUGAGAACGUGCUUAGAACAAAAAUAUCAAUAAAG